GUCCAGGGCAGGUCUUGAGGCGAAACACUGGCCACGUAAUAAGUCACCAGAGAAGACUCGCCCCUGCGCAGAUUACCAGCCCGCACUGGAACUCCUCUGAGCUGAGCGUGAUGAGAAAACCUGCUGUAGGGACUGUGUGCCACAACCUAGCAGGUGGUGGUGUCAUGGGGGCCUUGCGGAGAACUUCCCACCCAUCAGGCCUGGCUUGGCUCCAGGAGAUGCCCUGCAUAACGAGCUCUGCAAUGCAAUAUGAAUAACCGCUUGCUUCGGCUGUGUACUUCCUCACAGUGAAAGGACAGAUUCAGACGAAGAGGAAACCUUUGUAAAAUAUUAAAGUGAACACUGAACACUGAA